rnacentral:rRNA from 1 species
UACGUAGGGGGCAAGCGUUAUCCGGAUUUACUGGGUGUAAAGGGAGCGUAGACGGUGAUGCAAGUCAGAAGUGAAAGCCCGGGGCUCAACUCCGGGACUGCUUUUGAAACUGUGUAGCUAGAGUGCAGGAGAGGUAAGUGGAAUUCCUAGUGUAGCGGUGAAAUGCGUAGAUAUUAGGAGGAACAUCAGUGGCGAAGGCGACUUUCUGGACUGUAACUGACGCUGAGGCACGAAAGUGUGGGGAGCAAACAGG